UCCUCCAUGUUCAGAGGACUGCAGCCGUCAUCUACACAAACAGUUCUCUAACGAAAAAGAAAGAAAAUCCCAACUGAGUCUCAUGGGAUGGCGUCUUAUGCAAGCUGUCCUCCCCGAGGCUCUGACGAGAGCUCAGGCGUCUGCGUGCCUCCCGCUUGGACACGUGCACAGCUGAACGCCUCAGAGGCAAUUCCAGAAAGCCAGCUUUUCUAUGAAGCAUAGUCCCGUUCUGGUUCCAUAUGUGCAGUGGAAUGUGCAGAAGUGAGAGGAGGAUCCACUGAGGCCUUCCAGUCCCUGACGUGGGUUUGGAUGCCACAGCGAAGGCCUGAGGCCAAGUAACAACAAUGUGACGUUCACCAGAGAGGCAGUCUUUUACAGUUGUUUAGGAAAUCAUCUAUCUUUUAACCACGUUGGUGGAGGAUCUUCAUUUGUGAAGGCAGCACUUCCUCUGGUACUUUGGGUAAUUUCUGCUCUUGUUUUUGUUUUGACACAGAUGCGGCAUUUAUUUGUUUAUUUUGAAUAGAAAAACUGUAUUUGCACAUGCAUUAACAAACAGGCUCAACAAUGACUCAGCGAUAAAACAUUUAAAGUUAAAAGAAGAUUCUUAUUUUGUAAUAAUGCAAUUGUAAAGACCUGCAGACCUGCUAUUGCACAUUUUAACAUCAAUUUUGUUUUCUAUGUUAACCAUAUAAGUGACUCAACUAACAAAAAAGAAUUAGAAAAAAGUCAAUAUUUGUCCAAGUUUAUUGACGUGAUUGUUAAAAACCCCUGGUUCUGUUCAAAGGUUCUUGGAAUUAUUUGAACGAAUAUCACCCGCUUUUUUGUUUGUUUGUUUUUGUUUUGUUUUUUUAAAAGACGGGAGAAAUUAGCAAAAAGGUCACCCUUUUUUUUAAUGUAGUACAGUGCGCUUCCAUUAUAAUCUUUCUUUAAUAAAAAAAAAAGACAAGUGCAUCUAACUGAGGAAAAAGAAAUAGCAACAUGUGAUAAAAUAAAAUAUAGAAUAAUAACAUAAUCCUCAUCCUAUUUUACCGAAGAGGAUAAGGGCCGUGGAGAAAGAAAAAAAAAAGAAAAUUCUGACUUUAAUCUCAGAAUUCUGAGAUUAAAGUCAGAAUUUUCUAUGCCCUUUUUUUCUUUCUCCACGGCCCUAAUCCUCUUCCGUACUAUUUUGUACGUUAAAAUUUCAAAUUUCUUUCUAAGUUAUAUGGAAUAAAAAGCAAAAAGGAAAUUUGACGCUGUCGCCAUCUAGUGGUGUUAAAAUGAAUCUGCAAGGCAUUUUAAAAACAAGACAUUUCACACAGUGGUAAAAAUUUGCAAAAGCUCCUUAAAAAAAAGGGGGGAAAGUAUAAAAAUCCUAUGUUCUUGUUCAUCACCGGGGGUCGUUUUCAAUGUGAAAAGAUAUGUAUGUUUGUUUAACCCGUUUAGAAAAUGUAUGCAACAAUUUCUAGCAUUGACUGGCUUUUAGUUUUAUUUUUAUUUGAAAAACAAAAGAUUUCUAUUUUAUGCAAAUUAUAAACGUUGUAUGUUUACGAAAUGUUUUACAUUUUUACAUAAGAAAGUUUUUUAGUUUUAUUUUGUUUUGAAAAACAUAAUCUGUUUUGAACGUGAGCUAUAAAGUCUAAAUAUUUUACUUUUCAAUAAUUGCAUCUUUUUACCGUAGUGCAUCACAAAAAUGACUGAAGUGAAUGAAAGUCCACAAGGAAAUGAAAACUAGUGAAUGCAUCUGCUAAUUGAUAGUAAUUAUUAUUAAACGUUAAAUGAAUGUCAAAGAUUUUAAUGGUGGAUCUGCUGUUUAGGCCACGCUUUGACCCACUAUGCUCAUCAUUGUGUUCAUAUGUUGUGUAGCUACUUCAUGUGAUUCCAGUUCAUGCAAGUCAGGAAGCCUUUAGUCUGUAAAAGGCUGGAUUUCAAAAUAAAAGACCUGUUGGAA